AGAGUUUGAUCAUGGCUCAGGACGAACGCUGGCGGCGUGCUUAACACAUGCAAGUCGAACGAUGAAGCCCAGCUUGCUGGGUGGAUUAGUGGCGAACGGGUGAGUAACACGUGGGUGAUCUGCCCUGCACUUCGGGAUAAGCCUGGGAAACUGGGUCUAAUACCGGAUAUGACCAAGGACUGCAUGGUUUUUGGUGGAAAGGUUUACUGGUGCAGGAUGAGCCCGCGGCCUAUCAGCUUGUUGGUGGGGUAAUGGCCUACCAAGGCGACGACGGGUAGCCGGCCUGAGAGGGCGACCGGCCACACUGGGACUGAGACACGGCCCAGACUCCUACGGGAGGCAGCAGUGGGGAAUAUUGCACAAUGGGCGAAAGCCUGAUGCAGCGACGCCGCGUGAGGGAUGACGGCCUUCGGGUUGUAGACCUCUUUCAGCAGGGACGAAGCGCAAGUGACGGUACCUGCAGAAGAAGUACCGGCCAACUACGUGCCAGCAGCCGCGGUAAUACGUAGGGUGCGAGCGUUGUCCGGAAUUACUGGGCGUAAAGAGCUCGUAGGCGGUUUGUCGCGUCGUCUGUGAAAACCCGCAGCUCAACUGCGGGCUUGCAGGCGAUACGGGCAGACUUGAGUACUGCAGGGGAGACUGGAAUUCCUGGUGUAGCGGUGAAAUGCGCAGAUAUCAGGAGGAACACCGGUGGCGAAGGCGGGUCUCUGGGCAGUAACUGACGCUGAGGAGCGAAAGCGUGGGUAGCGAACAGGAUUAGAUACCCUGGUAGUCCACGCCGUAAACGGUGGGCGCUAGGU
rnacentral:rRNA from 1 species